rnacentral:ncRNA from 2 species
GAAAUCCACUAGGGGCGCCAUCACGGCUGAGAUAAAGCGAUAUGCUUUUGUCCCUUUGAACCUGAUCUGGGUCAUGCCAGCGUAGGAAAGUGGGACUGUGCGUUU